GACGAACGCUGGCGGCGUGCCUAAUACAUGCAAGUCGAGCGCAGGAAACUGACGGAACUCUUCGGAGGGAAGGCAGUGGAAUGAGCGGCGGACGGGUGAGUAACACGUAAGGAACCUGCCUCAAGGAUUGGGAUAACUCCGAGAAAUCGGAGCUAAUACCGGAUAGUUCAACGGACCGCAUGGUCCGCUGAUGAAAGGCGCUCCGGCGUCACCUUGAGAUGGCCUUGCGGUGCAUUAGCUAGUUGGUGGGGUAACGGCCCACCAAGGCGACGCUGCAUAGCCGACCUGAGAGGGUGAUCGGCCACACUGGGACUGAGACACGGCCCAGACUCCUACGGGAGGCAGCAGUAGGGAAUCUUCCACAAUGGACGAAAGUCUGAUGGAGCAACGCCGCGUGAGUGAUGAAGGUUUUCGGAUCGUAAAACUCUGUUGUAAGGGAAGAACACGUACGAGAGGUAAUGCUCGUACCUUGACGGUACCUUACGAGAAAGCCACGGCUAACUACGUGCCAGCCGCCGCAGUAAUAC
rnacentral:rRNA from 1 species